rnacentral:rRNA from 1 species
UUNUGAACUGGGUAGCUAGAGUAUGUCAGAGGGGGGUAGAAUUCCACGUGUAGCAGUGAAAUGCGUAGAGAUGUGGAGGAAUACCGAUGGCGAAGGCAGCCCCCUGGGAUAAUACUGACGUUCAUGCCCGAAAGCGUGGGUAGCAAACAGGAUUAGACACCCUGGUAGUCCACGCCCUAAACGAUGUCGAUUAGCUGUUGGGCAACUUGAUUGCUUAGUAGCGAAGCUAACGCGUGAAAUCGACCGCCUGGGGAGUACGGUCGCAAGAUUAAAACUCAAAGGAAUUGACGGGGACCCGCACAAGCGGUGGAUGAUGUGGAUUAAUUCGAUGCAACGCGAAGAACCUUACCUGGUCUUGACAUGUACGGAACCUUCCAGAGACGGAAGGGUGCCUUCGGGAGCCGUAACACAGGUGCUGCAUGGCUGUCGUCAGCUCGUGUCGUGAGAUGUUGGGUUAAGUCCCGCAACGAGCGCAACCCUUGUCAUUAGUUGCCAUCAUUAAGUUGGGCACUCUAAUGAGACUGCCGGUGACAAACCGGAGGAAGGUGUGGAUGACGUCAAGUCCUCAUGGCCCUUAUGACCAGGGCUUCACACGACAUACAAUGGUCGGUACAGAGGGUAGCCAAGCCGCGAGGCGGAGCCAAUCCCAGAAAACCGAUCGUAGUCCGGAUUGCACUCUGCAACUCGAGUGCAUGAAGUCGGAAUCGCUAGUAAUCGCAGGUCAGCAUACUGCGGUGAAUACGUUCCCGGGUCUUGUACACACCGCCCGUCACACCAUGGGAGUGGGGGAUACCAGAAGCAGGUAGGAUAACCGCAAGGANUCCGC